rnacentral:rRNA from 1 species
GACGAACGCUGGCGGCGUGCCUAAUACAUGCAAGUCGAACGCUUCUUUCCUCCCGAGUGCUUGCACUCAAUUGGAAAGAGGAGUGGCGGACGGGUGAGUAACACGUGGGUAACCUACACAUCAGAGGGGGAUAACAAUUGGAAACAGGUGCUAAUACCGCAUAACAGUUUAUGCCGCAUGGCAUAAGAGUGAAAGGCGCUUUCGGGUGUCGCUGAUGGAUGGACCCGCGGUGCAUUAGCUAGUUGGUGAGGUAACGGCUCACCAAGGCCACGAUGCAUAGCCGACCUGAGAGGGUGAUCGGCCACACUGGGACUGAGACACGGCCCAGACUCCUACGGGAGGCAGCAGUAGGGAAUCUUCGGCAAUGGACGAAAGUCUGACCGAGCAACGCCGCGUGAGUGAAGAAGGUUUUCGGAUCGUAAAACUCUGUUGUUAGAGAAGAACAAGGACGUUAGUAACUGAACGUCCCCUGACGGUAUCUAACCAGAAAGCCACGGCUAACUACGUG